AGUGAACGCUGGCGGUAGGCCUAACACAUGCAAGUCGAACGGCGGCACAGUAAGAGCUUGCUCUUACGGGUGGCGAGUGGCGGACGGGUGAGGAAUACAUCGGAAUCUACUUUUUCGUGGGGGAUAACGUAGGUAAACUUACGCUAAUACCGCAUACGACCUACGGGGGAAAGCAGGGGAUCUUCGGACCUUGCGCGAUUGAAUGAGCCGAUGUCGGAUUAGCUAGUUGGGGGGGUAAAGGCCCACCAAGGCGACGAUCCGUAGCUGGUCUGAGAGGAUGAUCAGCCACACUGGAACUGAGCCACGGUCCAGACUCCUACGGGAGGCAGCAGUGGGGAAUAUUGGACAAUGGGCGCAAGCCUGAUCCAGCCAUACCGCGUGGGUGAAGAAGGCCUUCGGGUUGUAAAGCCCUUUUGUUGGGAAAGAAAAGCAGCAGGUUAAUACCCCGCUGUUCUGACGGUACCCAAAGAAUAAGCACCGGCUAACUUCGUG
rnacentral:rRNA from 1 species